CGCAAAGUAUAUAUACAUUAAAGAACUGGCAAGGACCUCCAGGACAGUGUUGAAUAGAAGUGUCAAAAGAGGCAUCUCCCUCACUGCCAGGCUCAGAGGGAAAGUUUUCAGUAUUCCGUAUUAUCUGCGAUAUUGGCCUGGGCAACAACAGCAAAACUUCAUCACAGCAAAACUCCAUCUCAACAACAACAAAACAACAACAACAACAAGAAAAAAGGAGUUUUCUCUCUUCUUCUGUUCCUGGAAGAGUUUUAUUGUAAGUUUAGUGUUGUUUCUUUUUUAAAUGUUUGGUAGAAUUCAUUAAAAAAGCCAUCAAGGCCUGGAGCUUUCUCUGUGCUGAGUUGAAAUUACAAAGUCAGUUUAUUUAACAAUGUACUAUAUAAGCCAGAAAUUAUUGUCGAUAUCUGUCAUAGACAAAAAGAUUGCCCUAUGUGUACUGUGAAUUAUGCAGGGAUAUUAAUUGCUGUGUAUUUUUUUGAACAGUGAAAAAUUGGAAACAACCUAAGUAUUUACGACAAGGAACAACCCCAGCAUAUUUUUUAUUAAAUAAAGUAAUUUUCAGAGCAAUGUGUUUAGUCUGAAUGUAUUGAAAACACGUAGCACCGAGCCCCAGCACGGUGCUGUUUAUUUUCUAAUCCUGUUGGUUUCUGUGUGUGAGUGUGGAG
rnacentral:lncRNA from 10 species